AACGAACGCUGGCGGCAGGCCUAACACAUGCAAGUCGAGCGGGGCAGCAAUGCCUAGUGGCGGACGGGUGAGGAAUACGUAGGAAUCUACCCUUAAGUGGGGGAUAACCAGGGGAAACCCUGACUAAUACCGCAUGAUCUCUUCGGAGCAAAGAGGGGGACCGCAAGGCCUCUCGCUUCUGGAUGAGCCUACGUCUGAUUAGCUAGUUGGUAGGGUAAAGGCCUACCAAGGCGACGAUCAGUAACUGGUCUGAGAGGAUGAUCAGUCACACCUGGACGGAGACACGGUCCGGACUCCUACGGGAGGCAGCAGUGGGGAAUAUUGGACAAUGGGCGCAAGCCUGAUCCAGCCAUGCCGCGUGUGUGAAGAAGGCCUUAGGGUUGUAAAGCACUUUCAGCGAGGAGGAAGGGUGGUGUGUUAAUAGCACAUCAUUUUGACGUUACUCGCAGAAGAAGCACCGGCUAACUCUGUGCCAGCCGCCGCAGUAAGAC
rnacentral:rRNA from 1 species